UACGAAUCGUGCGAACGUUGUUCGGAAUCACUGGGCUUAAAGGGCGCGUAGGCGGGUGGCCAAGUCCGAGGUGAAAUCCCACAGCUCAACUGUGGAACUGCCCCGGAUACUGGUCGUCUUGAGGGAGGUAGGGGCGUGUGGAACGUUUGGUGGAGCGGUGAAAUGCGUUGAUAUCAAACGGAACUCCGGUGGCGAAGGCGACACGCUGGGCCUUUUCUGACGCUGAGGCGCGAAAGCUAGGGUAGCGAAGAGG
rnacentral:misc_RNA from 1 species